rnacentral:rRNA from 1 species
AGAGUUUGAUCCUGGCUCAGGAUGAACGCUAGCUACAGGCUUAACACAUGCAAGUCGAGGGGAAACGAUAGAGAAAGCUUGCUUUUUCUAGGCGUCGACCGGCGCACGGGUGAGUAACGCGUAUCCAACCUGCCCACCACUUGGGGAUAACCUUGCGAAAGUAAGACUAAUACCCAAUGAUAUCUCAAGAAGACAUCUGAAUGAGAUUAAAGAUUUAUCGGUGAUGGAUGGGGAUGCGUCUGAUUAGCUUGUUGGCGGGGUAACGGCCCACCAAGGCGACGAUCAGUAGGGGUUCUGAGAGGAAGGUCCCCCACAUUGGAACUGAGACACGGUCCAAACUCCUACGGGAGGCAGCAGUGAGGAAUAUUGGUCAAUGGACGAGAGUCUGAACCAGCCAAGUAGCGUGCAGGAUGACGGCCCUAUGGGUUGUAAACUGCUUUUAUAAGGGAAUAAAGUGAGUCUCGUGAGACUUUUUGCAUGUACCUUAUGAAUAAGGACCGGCUAAUUCCGUGCCAGCAGCCGCGGUAAUACGGAAGGUCCGGGCGUUAUCCGGAUUUAUUGGGUUUAAAGGGAGCGUAGGCCGGAGAUUAAGCGUGUUGUGAAAUGUAGAUGCUCAACAUCUGCACUGCAGCGCGAACUGGUUUCCUUGAGUACGCACAAAGUGGGCGGAAUUCGUGGUGUAGCGGUGAAAUGCUUAGAUAUCACGAAGAACUCCGAUUGCGAAGGCAGCUCACUGGAGCGCAACUGACGCUGAAGCUCGAAAGUGCGGGUAUCGAACAGGAUUAGAUACCCUGGUAGUCCGCACGGUAAACGAUGGAUGCCCGCUGUUGGUCUGAAUAGGUCAGCGGCCAAGCGAAAGCAUUAAGCAUCCCACCUGGGGAGUACGCCGGCAAC